UCUCUUCAAACCUUUCUUCAUGUUUUAGGAUCUGUGAAUUCCUUUAUAAAACUGCUGGUGAAUUCUGUGUGUGGCUGAUGAAAUUAAAUAGUGGUUCUGUGGAGAUUCAGACAAUAUUUAAUUUCACCGAACAAGAAGGAGCUCGUGCUGUAAUAUUUACUUGUCUUGAAAGUGCAAUAGCAAGUUUGAGCACUUCAUCAACAAGCAUAUUACUGUGCGGCUCUGAAAGUUACUGGUUUCGCGUGUUAUUAUCUAUGGAUGAUGUGGAUCUCUCAUAAAUUCAACAUUCUUCAAAAUUUGAGUCUACCAUGGUACUCAACCCACAGAACUCUAGACAACUUAACCCGCUCUGAAACAGCAAACACUGGUGACUUACAUACAGACUGAUGACAUCAUAGAACACUGCUUCACAAGACAUCAAAGAGGACAUCAUAGGAUACAUCUACAUUCGACAUCACAGGAUACAUCUUCAUCUGACAUCACAUAAUAUAUCUUGAGAUGGCAUCAUAAAAUACUUUUUCGUGGGACAUACAGCAUCUACUUCGCAUGGAAAGGAUUUAUGAAACGAUGGUUAUCGCCAAGUAGCUGUUACGGUAAUCGUUAUUUCAUUCACCAAUAUUUAUUAAAUUUACAAUCUUCAGGGAGACUUGUACAGUAUAGUGAGGUCCACGUUAUAAUGGCAGUGAAGAAAAAUAAGAGAGCAACAUUUCCAAGUCUCUGAAUUGACUCCAUUUUAACACUUAGUCUACACUGCUGUUAUUCAAUUCAUCCCAUUAAAUUUGAUCUAUUAUUAGUUCUCAUUUCCUUGAUAGAAUAAUCAAUAAGUAAUUUUAUGUAAAAUUGAUUUGUGAGCACCAUUUUUAAAAAUAAAUAUAACUGUUUCAAAUUGGGUCAUUCUUUUUGAAACACUCGGUAUUUUUGGCAAACUGACAACAUUGCAAAGCUAGAGAGAUAUAGCGCUAUAUGCUUUGUUGCAUGAUAGACAAGGAUAGCUACACUAUUGUCAAUCGAAUACUGCCAUUAUAACGUGAACCUCAUUAUAGUAUGGAAUUUUUAGCUGAAUGUUUGGGUGAGAAAAACAGGCAAGUAAUAAAACAUUUGUAGGGGUGCAAUCUUGCCAAAUCGCACAGUCCAACGCCGUAGUUGCAUGGAAAAAAUAGUAAAGGAAUAGAAAUAAUUAGUGGUGGGUAAUUGUAAUUUUAUGAUAAUAAUGAUACCCAGAUAUGUUACAAUAUAAUUACGGGCACUUAGACACACUGAAAACGUACAUAUUAGGUGAUUGUAACUGCACAGUAAUAAUACAACCAGUUUUGUUUGAAAAAUCAUAAUUAUCACUUAUGUAUUCUAGUAAAUCACAGACCUGAGUAACUUUGAAAUCUCUGACUAUUGACAAAAGCUCAUAAGGAUACAAAAAAUACAACUUCAAAAAUUUAUAAAUUGAGACAGUAGCCUAGGCCUAUGGAUUUAGGGUCGCGUCUAGGUGUCACCUCGACAACCUGACUCCUGGUCAUUUUGGCCAUAGGCGACAACCUGUAU